rnacentral:piRNA from 1 species
UGCGAUUUUUUUAAAAUUAAA